GAUGAACGCUGGCGGCGUGCCUAAUACAUGCAAGUCGAGCGAACAGACGAGGCGCUUGCUGCUCUGACGUUAGCGGCGGACGGGUGAGUAACACGUGGAUAACCUACCUAUAAGACUGGGAUAACUUCGGGAAACCGGAGCUAAUACCGGAUAAUAUAUUGAACCGCAUGGUUGAAUAGUGAAAGACGGUUUUGCUGUCACUUAUAGAUGGAUCCGCGCCGCAUUAGCUAGUUGGUAAGGUAACGGCUUACCAAGGCGACGAUGCGUAGCCGACCUGAGAGGGUGAUCGGCGACAUGGGAGCGGAGACGCGGUCCAGACUCCUACGGGAGGCAGCAGUAGGGAAUCUUCCGCAAUAGGCGAAAGCCUUGCGGAGCAACGGCACGUGAGUGAUGAAGGUCUUCGGAUCGUAAUACUCUGUUAUGAGUGAAGAACAAAUGUGUAAGUUACUAUGCACGUCUUGACGGUACCUAAUCAGAAAGCCACGGCUAACUACGUG
rnacentral:rRNA from 1 species